CGUAACUAUAACGGUCCUAAGGUAGCGAAAUUCCUUGUCGGGUAAGUUCCGACCUGCACGAAUGGCGUAACGACUUCCCCACUGUCUCAACCAGAGACUCAGUGAAAUUGUAAUCGCGGUGAAGAUACCGUGUACCCGCAGCAAGACGGAAAGACCCCGUGCACCUUUACUAUAGCUUGGCAUUGUACUUAGGGCUAUCAUGUGUAGGAUAGGUGGGAGGCUGUGAAGCGUAGACGCAAGUAGACGUGGAGCCGACCUUGAAAUACCACCCUUGAUAGUUUUGUGUACUAACUUUACGCCGUUAUCCGGCUAAAGGACAUUGUCUGGUGGGUAGUUUGACUGGGGCGGUCGCCUCCUAAAGAGUAACGGAGGCGCGCGAUGGUUGGCUCAGGCUGAUUGGAAACCAGCUGUAGAGUGUAAAGGCAUAAGCCAGCCUGACUGCGACACUGACAAGUGGAGCAGGUGGGAAACCAGGUCUUAGUGAUCCGGCGGUUCUGAAUGGAAGGGCCGUCGCUCAACGGAUAAAAGGUACGCCGGGGAUAACAGGCUAAUAACGCCCAAGAGUUCACAUCGACGGCGUUGUUUGGCACCUCGAUGUCGGCUCAUCGCAUCCUGGGGCUGAAGCAGGUCCCAAGGGUUUGGCUGUUCGCCAAUUAAAGCGGUACGUGAGCUGGGUUUAAAACGUCGUGAGACAGUUUGGUCCCUAUCUGCUGUGGGCGUAGGAUAUUUGAGGGGCUCUGACCCUAGUACGAGAGGACCGGGUUGGACGAACCACUGGUGUUCCAGUUGUUGUGCCAAUGGCAUUGCUGGGUAUCCACGUUCGGACCGGAUAACCGCUGAAAGCAUCUAAGCGGGAAGCCGACCCCAAGAUUAGAUAUCCCGUACAUUAGUACCAUAAGGUUCCUUGUAGACUACGAGGUUGAUAGGCCGGGGGUGUAAUUACAGUGAUGUAUUUAGCUGACCGGUACUAAUAGACCGAGCGGCUUGACCU
rnacentral:rRNA from 1 species